AGUGAACGCUGGCGGUAGGCCUAACACAUGCAAGUCGAACGGCAGCACAGUAAGAGCUUGCUCUUACGGGUGGCGAGUGGCGGACGGGUGAGGAAUACAUCGGAAUCUACUUUUUCGUGGGGGAUAACGUAGGGAAACUUACGCUAAUACCGCAUACGACCUACGGGUGAAAGCAGGGGAUCUUCGGACCUUGCGCGAUUGAAUGAGCCGAUGUCGGAUUAGCUAGUUGCGGGGUAAAGGCCCACCAAGGCGACGAUCCGUAGCUGGUCUGAGAGGAUGAUCCGCCACAAUGGAACUGAGACACGGUCCAGACUCCUACGGGAGGCAGCAGUGGGGAAUAUUGGACAAUGGGCGCAAGCCUGAUCCAGCCAUACCGCGUGGGUGAAGAAGGCCUUCGGGUUGUAAAACCCUUUUGUUGGGAAAGAAAAACAGCAGGUUAAAACCCCGCUGUUCUGACGGUACCCAAAGAAAAAGCACCGGCUAACUUCGUG
rnacentral:rRNA from 1 species